rnacentral:lncRNA from 1 species
AGUGGGAGUCGGGCUUAUUUCAGCCCCUACGGACUUGGGGGUCGGAAUCGGAAGAAAGGGGGGAGGGCUAGCCGGUUAACCACCAGAAUCACGGAAAAGGGGUGAAGUGCCUCAGGCACGGGGGAAGGCGUUUAGUCUGGAACAUCGGGUGGCUGCCCUUGGGAAGACCUACUUUGACUCAUGAUGAGAAACGCAUUGUAUGUCUGACCAUUCUUAGAGAAGAUACUUGGAGACUGGUGAGCCUGGAGCAUGG